GAUGAACGCUGGCGGCGUGCCUAACACAUGCAAGUCGAGCGAACGGACGAGAAUCUUGCUUCUUUCACGUUAGCCGCGCACGGGUGAGUAACGCGUGUAUACUCUACCUAUAUGUCUGGGAUAUUCUCGGGAAACCGUAGAUUAUCCCGGAUAAUAUUUUGCACCGUAUGGUUCAAAAGUGAAAUACGGUCUUGCUGUCUCUUAUAGAUGCUUCCGCGCUGCAUUAGCUAGUUGUUAAGUUAACGGCUUACCAAGGCGACGAUGCGUAGCCGAACUGAGAGACUGAUCGCCGACACUGGAGCGGGAACGGGGUCAAGGGUCCUACGAGAGGCAGCAGUAGGGAAUCGUACGCAGUAGGCGGAAGCAUGACGGAGCAACGCCACGUGAGUGGUGACGGUGUUCGGAUCGUAAAACUCUGUUAUUAGUGAAAAACAUAUGUGUAAGUUACUGUACACAGCGUGACGGUAACUAGUCAGAAAGCCACGGCUAACUACGUG
rnacentral:rRNA from 1 species